UUGCUGUUUCCCCAACAACAAACCCUGGAUUACAAGAGACAUAAAAGCAAUGCUUAACCAGAAAAAGAAAGCUUUUAAAGAUGGUGACAAAUAACUUAAACAAGAGUUGAUGAGGAGACUGAAGAUGGCAAAGCUGGAGUACAAAAAGAAGAAUCUACAACACAGCAACAUCUGUGAAGUGUGGAGAGGAAUCAGUACCAUCUCUGGACACAGCAAUAAAAAGAAAAGACAGCCAGUGGUGGUUGAUGUGGAAAGAGCUGAUGAACUCAACCUGUUCUUCAACAGAUUUGACACUGCUGUCACACCACUUCCACUGCUACUCCACCUUCCUGACCGCAACAAAUCUCCACUACAGCUUCUCCCGUUCUUCCUCCAUCCCAUUCAAAUGUCUCAACCACUUCAACUGCCUCCCUACUAGAACACCAGUCCUUGUCUGUCACUGAAACGAGGGUGAGGAUGGAGCUUGGAAGACUUUGUCCUGGGAAGACAGCUGGUCAAUCAAUCAAUCAAUCAAUCAAUUCCUUUAUUUGUCUCCGAGGAGAAAUUUGUCUUGGGCUUACAAGGUACAGCAUUAUUGUACAUACCAUCCAUUACAUACCAAUGUGACGGACAUACAGUUCAAUUCAGAUAGUGUGUGUCCAAGGCUGCUUAGCGACUGUGCUGUAGAACUGUGUCAACCUCUCCAAAAGAUCUUCAACCUGAGUCUACAGCUGGGAUGGGUACCUACUCUGUGGAAAACAUCCUGCAUUGUGCCAGUACCAAAAACAAAAUGUCCUGCUGAACUCAAUGACUAUAGACCAGUGGCCCUUACUUCACACAUCAUGAAAACCCUGGAGCGGUUCUCAGGUCAAAGACCAAACUGGAUUUCCUGCAGUUUGCAUACAAAGAGCACAUUGGAGUGGAUGAUGCUGUCCUCUACAUGCUUCACCGUGCUCUGUCUCAUCUGGAGGAACCUGGGGUUUAUGUGAGGAUCAUGUUCUUCGACUUUUCAAGUGCAUUUAACACCAUCCAACCUACCAUACUCAAAGACAAGCUCACAGAGAUGGGAGUGGAUCCUCUCAGUGUUUCCUGGAUCACAGAUUACCUGACAGGGAGGCCAUAGUUUGUCAGGCUGGGAAACUGUGUUUCUGGGACAUUAAUGAGCAGUACAGGGGCUCCACAAGGGACAGUUCACACUGUAUACGUCAGACUUCAAAUACAGCACUGAGUCCUGCCACAUUCAUAAAUACUCAGAUUACACCGCUAUUGUGGCAUGUAUCAGAAAUGAACAAGAAGCUGAAUACAGAGAUCUGAUAAGAGCCUACAGUGACUGGAGUCACAAAAACUGCCUCCUCCUCAACACCUCAAGGACAAGGAGAUGGUCACAGACUUCCUUAGAUCCAAACCCCCUCUUCAGCCAGUAAACACCUGUAGAGUGGACAUCAAGUGGUGACAUCAUAUAAAUACCUAGGUGUACAUCUGGAUAAUAAGUUGGACUGGUCUAAGAAUACAGACUUCGUCUGCAGAAAGGGGCAGAGCCGCCUCUUUUGCCUGAGAAGACUCCGAUUUAUAGACAUCUGUAGUAAGAUGCUACAGAUGUUUUAUCAGUCUCUGUGCUGUUCUACGCUGCAGUCUGCUGGGGAGGAAGCAUCAAACACAAAGAUGCAAGAUGUCUUAACAAACUGGUGAAAAAGGCUGGCUGUGGUAGGACUCAAGCUGGACUCAGUGGAGGAUGUGGUGGAGAGAUCUACACUGAGGAAGGUGGAGUCUAUUCGAAAGAACAUGGAUCACCCACUUCACAACACCUCGAUGGACCAAAGGGCCAAUGGUGGUGGAUGGCUCCUCUCACUUCGCUGCAGGACAGAAAGAUUCAGAAGAUCUUUUGUACCAACAGCCAUUAGACUUUAUAACUCUUGGGUAAAUAGUAGAUGACUGGUAGAGACAUAUUUUGUGAGACAACAGACAAUUGAAUUUCCCUUCGGGGAUUAAUAAAGUUAUUCUUAUUCUUAUUCUUAAAAUCAGCAAUUUUAUUUAAAACAAGAUAAGGUUUUGUCCUAAAUAACUUCUUUUACAUGUACAGGGCAAAGUCAGCAAAGAGGUGCUAGGUACCACUUCUUCCCCAAGGGGUGUCAUAACAUAAUAACAACCCUCUCAGAUUAUUAUCUAUCCUGCCCAUCGUCUUUGUUAAUGAUAUGUACAGAUCUCAGGUGUAAAUAUGUCUUCAUCUGUGUCCUUUUAAUAAGUCAAAUAUAUUGAGAUUUUAUGUCAGUAAUGGAUGUACAUCAGGCCUACAUCAUAAUUGUGUUUGUUUAUUUGUAUGUAACAGAACAGAGUCGCCAAACACAACGGCAGUCGUUUUUAACAAAGACAAAAUUCGCUGAGGAUCGGUAAAGUCUCUGGAGCAGUUAAGAACAACAGAAUAAAUAACUUGGAAAAUGCUUUGGUAGAUGUUUUAUUCUUCAAGAUUGCUGAUUCGCUUGUUUAGCUGUCAAUCAAAAAAGGAUUUCGCCUCAGACAGCUCAUCCAAUCAUGGAUGCAGAAGCUCGGAGUCCGGGAGAAAGUUGGGACUGCCCUCUCGCCAUAGAACUCCAGAGAAGCUGAGCGUCUGAAGGGCGGGACAAAGCCCAGCAUUUAUCCAAUGAGCGUCUGGUUUCGCUGCUGGAACAACCCACUUUGAGCUUCCACAUUGAAGUCAGCAGAAGCUGGGAGUCCGGCUGUGUAAAGCGCUGAGGCGCUGCGAGGAUGAAUGAGAACGAAGUUGUGCAGAAUCAGCUUCUUAUCACAGUGUGAUAAGAAGCUGAUUCUGAACAAAAGAUGAAGGCUUUCUAGUGCGUAUUUAGUUAACGAAAUGUACACACAGCAGUAAGUAUUUCACCACUUUUUCUUUUUUUUGGAGGGUGACAUUUUAAGGGAAGCUGAGCUUCCCUUGCAGUCUUAGAGCAAUUGCCGCUGAUGUACAUAUAUGCAUUUAUAUUUAUGAAUGUAAGUGAGUUUUGUCUCUCCCCUUAGCUGGAACACUCACACUU